GACGAACGCUGGCGGCGUGCCUAAUACAUGCAAGUAGAACGCACAGUUUAUACCGUAGCUUGCUACACCAUAGACUGUGAGUUGCGAACGGGUGAGUAACGCGUAGGUAACCUGCCUGGUAGCGGGGGAUAACUAUUGGAAACGAUAGCUAAUACCGCAUAAUAUUGAUUAUUGCAUGAUAAUUGAUUGAAAGAUGCUAUUGCAUCACUACCAGAUGGACCUGCGUUGUAUUAGCUAGUAGGUGAGGUAACGGCUCACCUAGGCGACGAUACAUAGCCGACCUGAGAGGGUGAUCGGCCACACUGGGACUGAGACACGGCCCAGACUCCUACGGGAGGCAGCAGUAGGGAAUCUUCGGCAAUGGACGAAAGUCUGACCGAGCAACGCCGCGUGAGUGAAGAAGGUUUUCGGAUCGUAAAGCUCGGUUGUAAGAGAAGAACGGGGGUGAGAGUGGAAAGUUCACACUGUGACGGUAUCUUACCAGAAAGAGACGGCUAACUACGUG
rnacentral:rRNA from 1 species